rnacentral:rRNA from 1 species
UGGGGAAUAUUGGACAACGGGGGGAACCCUGAUCCAGCCAUGCCGCGUGUGUGAAGAAGGCCUUAUGGUUGUAAAGCACUUUAAGCGAGGAGGAGGGUACUGGUAUUAAUACUACCAGGUACUGGACGUUACUCGCAGAAUAAGCACCGGCUAACUCUGUGCCAGCAGCCGCGGUAAUACAGAGGGUGCGAGCGUUAAUCGGAUUUACUGGGCGUAAAGCGUGCGUAGGCGGCUAAUUGAGUCGGAUGUGAAAUCCCCGAGCUUAACUUGGGAAUUGCAUUCGAUACUGGUUAGCUAGAGUGUGGGAGAGGAUGGUAGAAUUCCAGGUGUAGCGGUGAAAUGCGUAGAGAUCUGGAGGAAUACCGAUGGCGAAGGCAGCCAUCUGGCCUAACACUGACGCUGAGGUACGAAAGCAUGGGGAGCAAACAGG